rnacentral:rRNA from 1 species
GACGUAGGGCGCAAGCGUUGUCCGGAUUUAUUGGGCGUAAAGAGCGUGUAGGCGGCCAGACAGGUCCGUUGUGAAAACUCGAGGCUCAACCUCGAGACGCCGAUGGAAACCGUCUGGCUAGAGUCCGGAAGAGGAGAGUGGAAUUCCCGGUGUAGCGGUGAAAUGCGCAGAUAUCGGGAAGAACACCCGUGGCUAAGGCGGCUCUCUAGUACGGUACUGACGCUGAGACGCGAAAGCGUGGGGAGCGAACAGG